GAUGAACGCUGGCGGCGUGCCUAACACAUGCAAGUCGAGCGAACAGAUGAGGCUCUCUCCUCUCUGACGCUACCGACGGACGGGUGAGUCAUACGUGGCUAACCGAUCUAUAAGACUGGGGUAACUUCGGGAAACCGGAUCUCACAUCCGUCAAUAUAUUGAACCUCAUGGUUCAUUAGAGAAAGAGCGAUUUGCUGUCACUUAUAGAUGUAUCCUAGCCGCAUUAGCUAGUUGGUAAGGUAACGGCUUACCAAGGCAACGAUGCGUAGCCGACCUGAGAGGGUGAUCGGCCACACUGGAACUGAGACACGGUCCAGACUCCUACGGGAGGCAGCAGUAGGGAAUCUUCCGCAAUGGGCGAAAGCCUGACGGAGCAACGCCGCGUGAGUGAUGAAGGUCUUCGGAUCGUAAAACUCUGUUAUUAGGGAAGAACAAAUGUGUAAGUAACUAUGCACGUCUUGACGGUACCUAAUCAGAAAGCCACGGCUAACUACGUG
rnacentral:rRNA from 1 species